GAUGCUGUGGCCUCGGCUUCAUCAGUAUCACCAAACGCAGGCGAACCGUCAACCGUGCAAGCCGCCACAUUAAGGAUCCUCGACGACGACGAUGAGACUCGUUGGAUUAUACAUUCGAUCGAGAGGUCAACUGCCCGUGAAAACACUUUCGAACGAACGGCGCUUUACUCCAUUUCGUCUCGAAUUUAUUGGAACUUUUGACAAUUUUGGGACGAAAUAAUUCGAAAUAAAAAUCAAAAUAAAAAUUCACCAAAUGUUAAUCGCGCAUCACUCAAAA
rnacentral:misc_RNA from 1 species